CCUGCCCGGGGCGCGCCCCGGGCGGGGCGGGGGCACGGGGGGAACGCGAAGAACCUUACCUACUCUUGACAUCCAGAGAAUUUGCUAGAGAUAGCUUAGUGCCUUCGGGAACUCUGAGACAGGUGCUGCAUGGCUGUCGUCAGCUCGUGUUGUGAAAUGUUGGGUUAAGUCCCGCAACGAGCGCAACCCUUAUCCUUUGUUGCCAGCGAGUCAUGUCGGGAACUCAAAGGAGACUGCCGGUGAUAAACCGGAGGAAGGUGGGGAUGACGUCAAGUCAUCAUGGCCCUUACGAGUAGGGCUACACACGUGCUACAAUGGCAUAUACAAAGAGAAGCGAACUCGCGAGAGCAAGCGGACCUCAUAAAGUAUGUCGUAGUCCGGAUUGGAGUCUGCAACUCGACUCCAUGAAGUCGGAAUCGCUAGUAAUCGUAGAUCAGAAU
rnacentral:rRNA from 1 species